GAUGAACGCUGGCGGCGUGCUUAAUACAUGCAAGUCGAACGAACAAACUAGGAUCUUGCUCCUCUGACGUUAGCGGCAGGGGUGUGAGAAACACGUGGAUCACCUACCUAUAUGACUGAUAUAACUUCGGAACACGUGCUCUAAUACCGGAUAAUAUAUUGAACGGCAUGGUUCAGUAGUGAAGGACUGUUUUGCUGUCAGAUGUAGUCGGAUCCUCGCCGCUUUAGCUAGUUGGUAAGGUCACGGCUUACCAAGGCAACGAUGCGUAGCCGACCUGAGAGCGUGAUCGGGCACACUGGCACUGAGACACGGUGCUACCUCCUACGGGAGGAAGCAGGAGAGAAGCGUCGGCAAUGGCCGAAAGCGUGACAGAGUAACGCCGCGUGAGUGAUGAAGGGCUUGGGAUCGUAGAACUCUGUUAUUAGGGAAGAAAAAAUGUGUAAGUAACUAUGCACGUCGUGACGGUACUUAAUCAGAAAGCGCCGGCUAACUACGUG
rnacentral:rRNA from 1 species